rnacentral:rRNA from 1 species
AUGCAAGAAAUCGUGUGUGGGUGUGCGGGUAAACCUGGGGUGGAGAACACAAGGUCAUGUCGAUGCGAGUGCCCUGCCUUAAUAAGACUGCUCCGAUCAAAGGACAAUGAUUGGUACAUAGCAGAGCAACAUGAACAACACAACUAUUCAUUGUCUCCGACAUAUUGUCAGACAAUACACUGGCCGUCGCACAAGCAUAUUGAUGCGUACAGUGGGGAGUCGGUGGAGCAGUUGCGGCAGAACAAUGUGAACCUGGCAAAAGUGCACAGCAUCAUCGGGAGUUUUUUUGGUUCAGUGGAGAAGGUACCUUUCACAAAAAGAGCUCUGAAGAAUUUCUGUGGCAAAAUCAGCAGAGAGCAGGCAGAGGACGAUGUUAGGAAAACUAUGGAGGUUUUUGCAGAAUUGGGUUCACAAGAUCCACAUUUCACACACCGAGUCUAG